CGCUACCCAGACAGGGGUCCAUACGGCGUUGCUCUGGAUUCCCGUCGUAACUUAAAGGGAAAUUUUCACAAUGUCCGGAGCCCUUGAUGUCCAGCAAAUGAAGGAGGAGGAUAUCCUCAAAUUCCUUGCAGCAGGAACCCACUUAGGUGGCACCAACCUUGACUUCCAAAUGGAACAGUACAUCUACAAAGGAAAAGUGAUGGCAUCUACAUCAUAAAUCUGAAGAGAACCUGGGAGAAGCUUCUGUUGGCAGCUCGUGCCAUUGUUGCCAUUGAAAACCCAGCUGAUGUCAGUGUCAUAUCCUCCAGGAAUACUGGCCAGCGAGCUGGGCUGAAUUUUGCUGCUGUCACUGGAGCCACUCCUAUAUCUGGCCGCUUCACUCCUGGAACCUUCACUAACCAGAUCCAGGCAGCCUUCUGGGAGCCAAGACUUCCGGUGGUUACUGAUCCCAGGGCUGACCACCUGCCUCUCACAGAGGCCUCUUACAUGAACCUGCCUACCAUUGGUCUGUGUAACAGAUUCUCCUCUGCACUGUGUGGACAUUGUCAUCCCGUGCAAUAAGGGAGCUCACUCAGUGGGUCUGAUGUGGUGGAUACUCGCCCGGGGAAGUUCUGCACAUGCGUGACACCAUCUACUGUGAAUACCCAUGGGAGGUCAUGCCUGAUCUCUACUUCUACAGAGAUCCUUAAGAGAUUGAAAAGGAA